GAUGAAGAACGUAGCGAAAUGCGAUACGUAAUGUGAAUUGCAGAUCUCUCAGUGAAUCAUCGAAUCUUUGAACGCACAUUGCGCCCCCUGGUAUUACGGCGGGCAUGCUUAUUCGAGCGUCAUUUCUAUCCUCAAGCUCUGCUUGGUAUUGGGCGGCAAGCUCCCUUCUCCCAGGAGGGGGGCUCCCCCGAAAAUUAGCGGCGGAUCGGUCGGGGUCCCAGCGCAGUGACCUUUAUUCUCGCUGAUUGGAUCCCCGGGCGGCUCCUGCCGGGCAAAACAUCAUUUUCUUAGCGAUUGACCUCGGAUUAAGUAGGGAUACCCGCUGAACUUAAGCAUAUCAAUAAGCGGAGGA
rnacentral:misc_RNA from 1 species